rnacentral:rRNA from 1 species
UGGGGAAUUUUGGACAAUGGGCGCAAGCCUGAUCCAGCAAUGCCGCGUGCAGGAUGAAGGCCUUCGGGUUGUAAACUGCUUUUGUACGGAACGAAAAGGCUCUGGUUAAUACCUGGAGCAUAUGACGGUACCGUAAGAAUAAGCACCGGCUAACUACGUGCCAGCAGCCGCGGUAAUACGUAGGGUGCGAGCGUUAAUCGGAAUUACUGGGCGUAAAGCGUGCGCAGGCGGUUUUGUAAGACAGAGGUGAAAUCCCCGGGCUCAACCUGGGAACUGCCUUUGUGACUGCAAGGCUGGAGUGCGGCAGAGGGGGAUGGAAUUCCGCGUGUAGCAGUGAAAUGCGUAGAUAUGGCGGAGGAACACCGAUGGCGAAGGCAAUCCCCUGGGCCUGCACCUGGACGCUCAUGCACGAAAGCGUGGGGAGCAAACAGGAUUA